rnacentral:rRNA from 1 species
UACGAAGGGGGCUAGCGUUGUUCGGAAUUACUGGGCGUAAAGCGUGCGCAGGCGGCCAUCCAAGUCAGUGGUGAAAGCCUGGAGCUCAACUCCAGAACUGCCAUUGAAACUGUUAGACUUGAGUACGAGAGAGGUGAGUGGAAUUCCCAGUGUAGAGGUGAAAUUCGUAGAUAUUGGGAAGAACACCAGUGGCGAAGGCGGCUCACUGGCUCGUAACUGACGCUCAGGCGCGACAGCGUGGGGAUCAAACAGG